UACGGGGGGGGCAAGCGUUGUUCGGAAUUACUGGGCGUAAAGAGCUCGUAGGCGGCUUGUCGCGUCGUCCGUGAAAACCUGGGGCUCAGCUCCAGGCUUGCGGUCGAUACGGGCAGGCUCGAGUUCGGUAGGGGAGACUGGAAUUCCCGGUGUAGCGGUGAAAUGCGCAGAUAUCAGGAGGAACACCGGUGGCGAAGGCGGGUCUCUGGGCCGAUACUGACGCUGAGGAGCGAAAGCGUGGGGAGCGAACAGG
rnacentral:rRNA from 1 species